rnacentral:rRNA from 1 species
GACGAACGCUGGCGGCGUGCUUAACACAUGCAAGUCGAGCGAACGGACCAGGAUCUUGCUUCUCUGAUGUUAGCGGAGGUGGGGAGAGACACACGUGGAUCACCUACCUAUAUGACUGGGAUAAUUUCGGAAAACCGGCGCUUAUCGCGGAUAAUCUUCUGCAGCACGUUGGUCCAACGUGAGAUUCGGUCUUUGUGGCUGUUAUAGCUGGAUCCGGGCUGCAUUAGCUGGUUGUGAAGGUAACGGCUUACCAAGGCAAGGAUGCAUAGCCGACCUGAGAGGGUGAUCGCCCACACUGGAACUGAGACGCGGUCCAGGCUCCUACGGGAGGCAGCAGUAGGGAAUCGUCCGCAGUGGGCGGGAGCCUGACGGAGCAACGCCGCGUGAGUGAUGAAGGUCUUCGGAUCGGAAAACUCUGUUACGAGGGAAGAACAUAUGUGGAAGUAACUGUGCACAGCUUGACGGUACCUAAUCAGAAAGCCACGGCUAACUACGUG